rnacentral:tRNA from 1 species
GGAGGGAUGGCCGAGUGGUUUAAGGCAGCAGUCUUGAAAACUGCCGAAGGGUAACCCCCUUCCGUGGGUUCGAAUCCCACUCCCUCCG